GAUAAACGCUGGCGGCGUGCCUAAAACAUGCAAGUCGAACGGCUUAUGCCCUUCGGGUAUAGGUAGUGGCGGACGGCUGAGUAACACGUGGGUGACCUGCCCUCGAGCGGGGGAUAACUGCCCGAAAGGGUAGGCUAAUACCGCAGACAUCAUGGAUUCGGUUCCAUGGUUGAACCUCUGGGGUUCGAGGAGGGGCCUGCGCCCGAUUAGCUAGCUGGUGGGGUAACGGCCUACCA
rnacentral:rRNA from 1 species